rnacentral:rRNA from 1 species
GAUGAACGCUGGCGGCGUGCCUAAUACAUGCAAGUCGAGCGAACAGAUAAGGAGCUUGCUCCUUUGAAGUUAGCGGCGGACGGGUGAGUAACACGUGGGUAACCUACCUCUAAGACUGGGAUAACUUCGGGAAACCGGAGCUACUACCGGAUAACAUUUAGAACCGCAUGGUUCUAAAGUGAAAGAUGGUUUUGCUAUCACUUAUAGAUGGACCCGUGCCGUAUUAGCUAGUUGGUAAGGUAACGGCUUACCAAGGCGACGAUACGUAGCCGACCUGAGAGGGUGAUCGGCCACACUGGAACUGAGACACGGUCCAGACUCCUACGGGAGGCAGCAGUAGGGAAUCUUCCGCAAUGGGCGAAAGCCUGACGGAGCAACGCCGCGUGAGUGAUGAAGGGUUUCGGCUCGUAAAACUCUGUUAUUAGGGAAGAACAAAUGUGUAAGUAACUGUGCACAUCUUGACGGUACCUAAUCAGAAAGCCACGGCUAACUACGUG